CCCGCACCACCAGCUAUCAGCACCACACAGGGCCAUGCCUCGCCUCCCAACUAACUACCUCCAGCGGCCAAGACCCGGAGCCGCGACCGCCUGGAUCCGGCCUCGCCUCCUCCACACGAGCCCCUACCUCCCUCCUAGCCCCCCUCGCCGUCCUCCUCAUCCGGCGGGCCUAUUAGCACCGGAUCCUGCCGACGCCGACGGAGAUGGCCGCCUCCAACCACCAAGGCCCGGAUCUGUGGCUCUCUCUGGUCGCUGGCUGCUGCCUAAAUCCAGCCCAGGCCGCUCGCGCUACUGUGCCGCGCCGGCAACGUCCACAGCGUCGAACCGCUGCUGCCGUCCUGCUUCUCGUGGUUCCGCAGCCACUUUCGUCGCGCUCCGACUCUCACCGGCGUCCACCGGGAUCGACCUCCUGACUUAGCCAUGCGGUUAAGCAGCAAGGGAGGUUCGCUGGCUUCCGUCGUGCAGUUCGCCGCGCCUCCCCACCGCUAGUCACGCAACCUCCACCGCCGCAGUGGAGCAGCGCCACCACUGUGGCCGUGCCCAUCCGCGGGGAUGUUGAGGCCAGUGCGACCAGGGCCUAGAGCUCGCCUCUUCCCCCGCGAGGGGCUCCGACGGCUCCUUGUCCCGCACCCUCCUCCACCUUUCUCUGGCGCUCGCAGGACACAGCCGAUGGGUGCGGCGCCUCGAGUGGUUGCUGCCAGCGGCGGAUGCAGCCUCGUGCCCCCGCGCGAUCGGAUCCCAUCCCCACCACCUACGGCCACCAUCUGUGGUACUGCAUCUGCGGCCACGACUUAUCUCCCUCGCAGGCGACUCUCUCCCUCUUCCACCGCCGAUUUGGCCAGCGAGCGGCGCCACCGAGGUCAGCGGCUUCGUCGAUGGUGGUGCUCUCUCACGCCCUCCGACGACCCCCUGAUCCCCUCCCUCAGGAUCCAGGAUGCAGCUCACUUAGAAAUCCUUUGGUGGCCCCGAACACUUCCUGCAGCUCUGUCCUGGCAUAUGUGCAGCUCUCUUCUUCUCUGUGUGCAAUGCAAAAAAUUUGGUUGAUGUGCAGCCGCCGAUGAUGGCUCCGGCUCUGUUCUCUCUGUUGUGCACAAGUCCAUGGACACGAUUGCUUUUAGGCUUUUCAUUUUGAGGGCUAUUGUAUUAAAAAAGGGUUAUUUUGUACGGCUGGGGUGUGCACACGCAGUUCACCGGCGAGCCGCUACCGGUUGCAGCAGCACGGGCGAGCUCUCUUCUUUUCUACUGCUAUUUUUAGUAGAAAAUGGUGCUUUUUUUGUGUGUUGUGGAGUUUGCAUGUCAUGCUGGAGACGUUCAUUGCACUGUCGAUGGCAGUUUAUACUUUGUAAUUGAGAAGUGCCUACGUAAAAUUUCAGUUCCUCGUGGCACCACCAGUAUAAAUUUCAGCUCAGAUGCCCCCUUGAUGUGUGGCAUGCAUCACCUUAUGUUGAAGUUUUUUGCCCUCCAA